rnacentral:rRNA from 1 species
CCAGAGAUGGACUGGUGCCUUCGGGAACUGUGAGACAGGUGCUGCAUGGCUGUCGUCAGCUCGUGUUGUGAAAUGUUGGGUUAAGUCCCGCAACGAGCGCAACCCUUAUCCUUUGUUGCCAGCGAUUCGGUCGGGAACUCAAAGGAGACUGCCAGUGAUAAACUGGAGGAAGGUGGGGAUGACGUCAAGUCAUCAUGGCCCUUACGACCAGGGCUACACACGUGCUACAAUGGCGCAUACAAAGAGAAGCGACCU